UAGCUAAUGGGCUCUUUCUAGCGCAGUACCCGGAUCAGCGCUCUGAGCCAAUCAGAGAUCCAGGUGACUGCUGGAGUCGUGACGCCGUUCAAACCAACCACUGGCCAGGCUAACGCCUGUGCUCAGGAUGCCCUUCUCAGAUGUGAAGAUGACCCCCAGGAAUGAUGGGAUGAGGCCAAACGCAUGUAUGCUUUUCUUCUCAGGACAACAUCGCUUCUUCCUCUGGAGAAACUUGCUUCCUCUUCAGCACCAUCCAUGUGUUUCCUUUGUAGGAGGAUGCCACUCACACCUCUUCCACUCUGAGGGUUCCACCCUUUCCUCACUUUAGAC